GUUGCAAGGGACAGUGUGUCAAGCCAGGCCCUGCAAGGAGAGACACGUGGGCAUUCCCACCUGACCCAAAGUGUAUAUUAAUCUAUGGGAUUCUGCACUCUGGCGUGGCGUAGUGUGUGGUGUGGUGGCCUGUGGCGGCGUGGCGUAGCGUGUGGCAGCGUGACCACAGCAGUGAUGGUGGACCCUCACCGCCAGAAGACCAGAUGGAGGGGAGCAACGACACAUCACUGGGACCUUCAGAUAGGUUCAUACUGGCGACAGGGGUGGAAGGGUGACAUAAAAGGGACUUCCCUGGUGUCUGCAAAUGCUACUGUAUGGUUUCUCUAAAGACCCCAGGCUAAUCCUCAAGCAAGAUGUGUGACUCCUAAGAGUAAUGAAAUUUGCUGGUCUGCAGUUGCUCACUCCCAUUUCAACAUUUCUGUUCUGCCUGCUGCUGCUUAAUCCUCUCUGGCUGAUACCUUACAGUGCUCUUUGGGAGAUUCUAAAUGUGAAAAGUACAAGAGGAGACAUGGUAAGAGACUGGUGCUGGUGAGAACCAGGGAGUGAAAACUUACACUAAAGAUGGACACCUGAAAGAAAAGGCACAGAUGAAAGGAAAAAAUGUAAUAAGGGAGGAGUGCUAACAGGAGGUCUCUGUGUUACACCUAAAAAGGGAGUAAUGCUUUAUAAUGGAAAGGCAAGGUUCCAUGCCCUCACCUGUGUAUGAAGUUUCAAGCGAAGAGAGAACACUGAAAGAAGGGAGCAGUUGGCCAGAUGCCUUGGGGAUUACAGUGCACCAUCAGCAGAAAGCCAGAGCAAAGAAAAGUCAUUUGGAACUCUUUCUAGGUCUAGACAUGGUCAUAGUGGCUGUUGUAAGCUUCAUUGAUGAUGGGAUGAGAAAAGCAGACGAAAGCAGAAUGAAUGCCACGGCCCCUCUGCCAAAUAUGACAGGAGGACUUGCUUUGCAAUAUUCACAGAAUAUUCUGAGUUGGAAGGGACCCGCAAGGAUCACCACUAAAUAUUCCUUACUGAAUGGAGCUCUUGCCUUUUUCAGCUCUUGAGUCAUCCAGCUCACUGUUCUGGCACUCCCACUUCCAUGCAAUUACCAUCCCCAAUGGCUUUUGCUCUCAUGUAUAUUUUAUCAGUCAUUUAUCCCAGAUGAUUUCUUACCCUUAUCAUGGACUAUACCAUCUUUAGUAAAGUCUGGUAACCAGCCAAGAACUAGGAUUGUUUGUUAUGUUUUGUUUGCUUGCUAUUUUCCCCUCUCUUUUUCUUCGUAUCAAAAUACAGUUUGAGGCAGUAUCAUGAUAGGGCUCUGAUAUUUUUCACUGGUGAGGAUUUUACCCUGAAGACUCAGAGCACUUCUUCUUCCAGUGUACCUUUCCAGUUCAGCUGGAAACUAGGCACGUGACAGUAGGCUGGGGUCUGACAUGCACCAUCCAUGCUCCUUGCAACCAGGAAGAGCCCAGAAUCAGAAUCUUCAGGUGGAUUCUAUAGGUAAGAAUGUUGAGUAUUUGAGCAUUGCAUACCCCACUUGUUGAACACACCCCUAAAAACAUUAGUCAGAAUUCAUGCUUUAAAACAUAAAUUCAAUAGUGAAAAAGUUGUGGGCUUUUUUCCAUGCAUGUUGUUUUUACCUAUGCUUACAUCCCCUAUCCUCUGAUCUAAAGCAACAGCCAUGACAAGGAAUUUAUAGAUGUUUUUCAAAUUUGUAAUAAAUCCUCUGGACUAAAUUCUGAUUUGGUUAAAUCUUUGAGAUUAUUUCAUUUUACACAAUUUUGCAGAAAUCAAAACCUGCUCAUGUGGACAAAAAGCAUUUUUACAUUUUAUAUUUUUACAUGUUACAAUUUAAGAAUCUACUUAACUGCAAUGUUAAAUCACAUAAGUACCCAAGGGAAUUGUUUUGGAUUUAUUUUUAAAUGUACACAUAAGACAAACAUCUUGGAAAUUCAGAAGUGUUUUUACUCUAUUUUGAUACAGCAUGUGUUUAUCUGCCUGCACAACAGUGCAUUUUAUCAAUUUCACCAGGUGCAGAGCAGAAAAGUAACAGUGAAAGAUUAGAAGAAUCUCUAGAGUGAAAAUAAAAACAAAAUAGCUUCUUAUAUUAUCUUGAAUUCUUUUCACUGUUACUGGAAGAUAAUGAUACUUGUGUAAUUACUGCUUUUAUCACCUAAAUAAAUAAAUAAAUAAUGUUUCAUAA